rfam:Oryza glumipatula chromosome 12, whole genome shotgun sequence.
AAAAAGACAAACCUAGUUUCCGUGCCCAACGUUCGGCCGUCCGUCUUAUUUAAAAAAAUUAUGAAUAAAAUUAAAAAGACAAGUCACGCAUAAAAUAUUAAUCAUGUUUUAUCAUCUAACAACAAUGAAAAUACGAAUUAUAAAAAAAUUUCAUAUAAGACGGACAGUUAAAGUUGNGGAGCCUUUUCAUCUUGAUGCGUACA